rnacentral:lncRNA from 1 species
AUGGUGGUGCAGGUGCUUCAUCUUGAAUCUGAUCCUUUCCUAGUUUGUCUCAACCAUGCUCUGAGCACAGAGAAGAAGGAGGUCAUAGGUCUAUGUAUAGGGGAGUUGAAUGAAGUCAUAAGGAGUGACUCCAAAUUUACAUACACUGGAACUGAAAUGUGCAUAGUUCUAGAAAAGAUGGAUACCACCAGAAUUGUUCAUGUCCAUUCUGUCAUUAUCUUGCAGCAUUCUGAAAAGAGAAAAGACCAUGUAGAAAUUUCUCCAGAGCAGUUGUCUGCAGCCUCAACAGAGGCAGAAAGGUUGGCUGAAUUAACAUGAGAGUUGUUGGCUGGUACCAUUCCCACACUCAUAUAACAGUUUGGCCUUCACCUGUUGAUGUUCAUAUACAAGCCAUGCACCAAAUGGUGGAUUGAGGCUUUGUAGGACUUAUUUUUUCCUGUUUCAUAGAAGACAAAAACAGAAAGACUGGUUGGGUACUCUAUACUUGCUUCCAAUCCAUACAAGCCCAAAAACUCAGAUUAUGAAAGAAAUUAAAUUCUAAUCCAUAUUGUACCUCAUAUAACUAUUGGGAAAGUAUGCCUUGAAUUUGUGGCCUAAACAUCCUGUGGCAGGAAGAACAGGAUGCAUAUAGAAGGAUUCACAGCCUUACAAUGUGGACUCGGUGACCAAUAAUGGCUCAGUAUUUACCAAGAAUUUGUGCAGUCAGAUAUCCACAAUCAGUGGGCCUCUACUUGCAGUGAUUGGAGGACAGAUUGGAACAAAACCAACAGCAUUUGUAGGAGUUGCAACAAGAAAAGGAAGAGUUUAUGAAAGAGCUGUCUUCCCUAGAA